GACGAACGCUGGCGGCGUGCUUAACACAUGCAGGUCGAACGGAAAGGCCCUGCUUUUGUGGGGUGCUCGAGUGGCGAACGGGUGAGUAACACGUGAGUAACCUGCCCUUGACUUUGGGAUAACUUCAGGAAACUGGGGCUAAUACCGGAUAGGAGCUCCUGCUGCAUGGUGGGGGUUGGAAAGUUUCGGCGGUUGGGGAUGGACUCGCGGCUUAUCAGCUUGUUGGUGAGGUAGUGGCUUACCAAGGCUUUGACGGGUAGCCGGCCUGAGAGGGUGACCGGCGACAUGGGGACUAAGAGACGGCCCAGACGCCUACGGGAGGCAGAGGUGGGGAAUAUUGCACAAUAGGCGGAAGCCUGAUGCAGCAACGCCGCGUGCGUGAUGACGGCCUUCGGGUUGUAAACCGCUUUCGCCUGUGACGAAGCGUGAGUGACGGUAAUGGGUAAAGAAGCACCGGCUAACUACGUG
rnacentral:rRNA from 1 species